rnacentral:rRNA from 1 species
UGGGGAAUAUUGCACAAUGGGGGAAACCCUGAUGCAGCGACGCCGCGUGAACGAAGAAGGUAUUCGUAUCGUAAAGUUCUGUCCUAUGGGAAGAUAAUGACAGUACCAUAGAAGAAAGCUCCGGCUAAAUACGUGCCUGCAGCCGCGGUAAUACGUAUGGAGCGAGCGUUGUCCGGAAUUAUUGGGCGUAAAGGGUACGCAGGCGGUUUAAUAAGUCGAAUGUUAAAGAUCGGGGCUCAACCCCGUAAAGCAUUGGAAACUGAUAAACUUGAGUAGUGGAGAGGAAAGUGGAAUUCCUAGUGUAGUGGUGAAAUACGUAGAUAUUAGGAGGAAUACCAGUAGCGAAGGCGACUUUCUGGACACAAACUGACGCUGAGGUACGAAAGCGUGGGGAGCAAACAGG